CUGACAGGCCAAAUGGUCGCUGGUUCCGGGAAGCCGGAAUUGGAGGAAAGUCCGAGCUCCAGAGGGCAAGGUGGUUGCUAAUAACAACUGCCCCGGUAUCCCCGGGGUAAGGAAAGUGCCACAGAAAAUAUACCGCCCCGAGCACAUCGAGGGGUAAGGGUGAAAUGGUGAGGUAAGAGCUUACCAGUAUUCCAAGUGAUUGGGAUAGCUUGGCAAACCCCACCUGGAGCAAGACCAAAUAGGGGAGCAUCGAGGUGUCAAUCAUCUCAUCAGGUGGCCCGUUUGAAGCUCCCGGGUAGGUCGCUAGAGGUACCUGGCAACAGGUAUCCCAGAUGAAUGACCAUUGCCUGAAUUAUCAUAUUCAGGAACAGAACUCGGCUUAUGGCCUGUCUGAGUA
rnacentral:RNase_P_RNA from 1 species